CCACGCUUGCUGGAUCUUAGUGGCGAACGGGUGAGUAAUACGUAAAUAAUCUGCCCAUUGGACUGGGAUAACUGUUGGAAACGAUAGCUAAUACCGGAUAGGUGAUUUGAAGGCAUCUUCGAAUCAUUAAAGUAGGGUCACUACACCAAUGGAUGAGUUUAUGGCGCAUUAGUUAGUUGGCGGGGUAACGGCCCACCAAGACGAUGAUGCGUAGCCGACCUGAGAGGGUGACCGGCCACACUGGGACUGAGACACGGCCCAGACUCCUACGGGAGGCAGCAGUAGGGAAUUUUCGGCAAUGGGCGCAAGCCUGACCGAGCAACGCCGCGUGAGUGAUUAAGGCCUUCGGGUUGUAAAGCUCUGUUGUAAGGGAAGAACAUUCAGGAUAGGAAAUGAUCUUGAACUGACGGUACCUUACCAGAAAGCCACGGCUAACUACGUGCCAGCAGCCGCGGUAAUACGUAGGUGGCAAGCGUUAUCCGGAAUUAUUGGGCGUAAAGGGUGCGUAGGCGGUUUAUUAAGUCUAUGGUGAAAGUGCGGGGCUCAACCCCGUAUGGCCAUAGAAACUAGUAGACUUGAGUGCAGGAGAGGGCAAUGGAAUUCCACGUGUAGCGGUAAAAUGCGUAGAUAUGUGGAGGAACACCAGUGGCGAAGGCGGUUGCCUGGCCUGUAACUGACGCUGAGGCACGAAAGCGUGGGGAGCAAAUAGGAUUAGAUACGCUAGUAGUCCACGCUGUAAACGAUGAAUACUAAGUGUUGGAGAAAUUCAGUGCUGCAGUUAACGCAAUAAGUAUUCCGCCUGGGGAGUAUGCACGCAAGUGUGAAACUCAAAGGAAUUGACGGGACCCCGCACAAGCGGUGGAUUAUGUUGUUUAAUUCGACGC
rnacentral:rRNA from 1 species